UACUGCGAUGAGCAGUGCGUGGAUUUUUGAACUUGCGCCCCGUGUGCUUAUUCCUGUAAACUUCAGCUAUAUCAGAUCUUCCGUGUGUUGGUUCGGUAGAUCUCGUUUCCUAUUUGUUAAAAGGAAGAAUGAAGCACUUGGAACUAUUUCCAACUUGCUAAAUGGAGGGACAAGUUUCACGAAAACGAUUUGUAAGUUAGUGAGUUCUACGCUGAUUGUUAACGUGUGCCUUUCUUCUUUCAAGUUAUGCCUUCGUCUGCUUGCUAAGCCUGUAUAUGUGAACGAACUGCCAUCUAUAACUUAUACUUGCAACGAAAACGUUUGGAUCAUGAAGAAAUAAAGAGAAACAAGAAGGUGAUUACAGUUUUUCCGUGGCGAUCGGUUAUGUAACUUUAAAAUGAAAUAGUUUCGAUCCAUCGGAUGGAAACUUUGGAUAGAACACCUCUACGACGGAUCGCCGAAAGUUGGUGGGCAUGAUUUUGAAUAAUAAAAGCAAUCUGUGCAACACGGAACUCGCGCUUUUUCAAAGUGUUGACAGCGAUGUUCAUUCGAACUUACAAGGUCUAUAUUGCAAACAGCGUUCGCGUUGGCGGAUGAGAAAAAAUGUCGUUAUCGAUUUUUGCCCAGUGAUGUUGGUUUAAAAUUGAGAAAAACCCCUUUACUCACAUUCGAUGUACAUCAAAUCUGGCCUUCUUCCGUAUUUGCAUUUGCUUGUCCAUUCAAAAAUAUUCCCCGUGUUACACGGUCGACUCGUUCUCAAAAGCGACAGGCCCUACUAUGUCUACUGUGUAGAGUCGCGGUCCAAUUUUCUCUUUGCUUCUUGACGUGCACACAUGACAAAGACAGGGACUUACCCAUUGGCAAUACCGGAGGGCAAAAUUCUGCCAUGGGUCCAAUCGGAAUAAGCAUUAAAUAAUAGCAAUAUGGAAAGAGAGUGCUUCCAAGAAACGUGCUAUCCUUUCAAACAGAUGUGUAAAAGGAGGUUCUCAUCUCGCUUCAAUGGUUUUCCCCGAAAGACGCAUUCACACGAUGAACUUGCCUGGGAAAAUAUUUCAUUCUAUAUCAGAGCAUGACGCUAAUCAAGAUUGAUUCUCUUUAACACCAACUGGAAUACGUUACGCGCUCGUAUAUCCAUCUAGAAAAUAUUUAGAUAAACUUAUAGCUCUACUUCACCAUUUCUCCAGUCUUCAACACAGGAGAUGGAAUAUACAAGUAUGUGCUAAUAUACUUGUGGACCUUGAAUUGUAUCCAAAUGCUAUAUUGGCUUCAGUCCUUACAAUAUAAGGCACUUGCAUUGCAAAAAAAAACAUGGACUCCAUUCAAAAAAUAUAACAUGUCACUAAAAAGCACAGAACACAAGAGAA